UUCCUUGUGGCCCAAUGGCAAGGCGUUCGCCUACGAUUAGCGAAAGAUUCCAGGUUCGACCCCUGGCAAGGAAG
rnacentral:tRNA from 1 species